AAAAAAGACGCCUUACUAUACUAUGUCGAAAAAAAUGCGAUUUUUCAAACGUUGUCAAAACAUGCCAUAUGAUGAAAUAAUGUAAAGCAGGCUGUGAAAAACACUCCAGAAAGGUUUUCUUUGAAAAAAAAAUCAUCAUGAAUUUUGGCGCAUAAAAAACGCCUUACUAUACUAUGUCGAAAAAAAAUGCGAUUUUUCAAACAUGUUGUAAAAACGUGCCAUAUGAUGUAAUAAUGUAAAAGAGGCCGUGAAAAACACUAUGGUAAGGUUUUCUUUGAAAAAAGAAUCAUCAUGAAUUUUGGCGCAAAAAAACGCCAUAGUAUACUCUGUUGAAAAAAAAUGGGAUUUUUCAUACAAGUUGGAAAAACGUGCCAUAUGAUGAAAUAAUGGAAAGGAGGCCGUGAAAAACACUCCAGGAAGGUUUUCGUUGAAAAAAAAAAUCAUCUUGAAUUUUGGCGCAAAAAAAACGCCUUACUAUACUAUGUCGAAAAAAAAUUGCGAUUUAUCAACAUGUUGUCAAAACAUGCCAUAUGAUGAAAUAAUGUAAAGGAGGCCGUGAAAAACACUCCAGAAAGGUUUUCUUUGAAAAAAAAAAUCAUGAAUUUCGGUGCAAAAAAACGCCUUACUAUACUAUGUCGAAAAAAAAUGCGAUUUUUCAAACAUGUUGUAAAAACGUGUCAUAUGAUGAAAUAAUGUAAAGGAGGCUGUGAAAAACACUCUGGAAAGGUUUUCUUCGAAAAAAAAUCAUGAAUUUUGGCGCAAAAAAACGCCUUACUAUACUAUGUCGAAAAAAAAUUGCGAUUUUUCAAACAUGUUGUCAAAACGUGCCAUAUGAUGAAAUAAUGUAAAGGAGGCCAUGAAAAACACUCCACAAAGGUUUUCUUUAAAAAAAAUAAAAAUCAUCAUAAAUUUUGGCGCAAAAAAAACGCCUUACUAUACUCUGUCGAAAAAAAAUGGGAUUUUUCAUACAAGUUGGAAAAACGUGCCAUAUGAUGAAAUAAUGGAAAGGAGGCCGUGAAAAACACUCCAGAAAGGUUUUCUUUGAAAAAAAAUCAUCAUGAAUUUUGGCGCAAAAAAUUUCAUAGUGAAAAGUCGUCCAAAAUGUCGAAAGAAAGUCAUAGUUUAGUAUGUCAUCAAAAAUGUCACAAAAACGUCAUAGUUCAGUAUGUCGUCCAAAAUAUGACAAAAACGUCAUAGUUUAGUAUGUCGUCCAAAAUGUCACUAAAACGUCAUAGUUUAGUAUGUUGUCCAAAAUAUGAAAAAAAACGUCAUAGUUUAGUAUGUCGUCCAAAAUGUGCUGAACAGGUGCUCAGGAAGCUCAACUGAUUGAGAAGCCGACUCGUCAACAGGACUGUGUGAGAGAUGCAGGUUCGAUUCCAGCUUAAAGCCUUUUACUGCAGAUCUUCUGCUGUCCUAUCUUAGUCUCUACUUACCUAUUGAAUAAAACCGUAUGUCAUCCAAAAUAUCAUAAAAAUGUCAUAGUUUAGUAUGUCGUCCAAAAUAUCAUUAAAACAUCAUAGUAUGUCGUCCAAAAUGUCAUUAAAAUGUCAUAGUUUAGUAUGUCGUCCAACAAAUUGAAAAAGGGUGCCCAGGUAGCUCAACUGGUUGAGAGGGUGACUCAUAAAGAGGAAUGCGUCAGAGAUGCAGCUCAUGGCCCUUUACUGCAGGUCUUCACUGCUUUCCUGUCUCCCUCUCAACUUACCUAUUAAAUAAAACCAACAAAAGGGCCCAAAAAACUUUUUUAAAAGUGUCAUAGUUUAGUAUGUCAUCCAAAAUAUGACAAAAAUGUCAUAGUUUAAUAUGUCGUCCUCAAUGUCACUAAAACGUCAUAGUUAAGUUUGUCAUCCAAAAUGUAGAAAAAAACAUCAUAGUUUAGUAUGUUGUCUAAACUAUGUUUUUGUGAACUGAGCAGCCUUGGCGGAGUACUGCACUCUCUGAUUGCUUUUCUAGUUACUGUAUGUAAUUUUAAAAAACAGGGAAAUCUGUAUAUUAACAGUAAAUUAUUCAAAACAUUAGUUAAAAACUGUCAAAAAACAUGAAUAGUUUACAAAAUACAUUUGUUUGGCAGCAAAGGAGAUCUGUGAUGAAUUUUGCAUUUCUUGAAGCAGCACUUUUGACACUUUUUAAAUUCUACAGCAUAAAAAGCAGCACCCUGACAGUUUAUUUGCUGUUUUUUACUCCAUUUUUGUUGUUUUCAAACGACACAUUUGUGAAGUGCUGAUUUAUGGCCCAUUUGGUUUUCCAUACCGAGACAGAAUGCUCUGAUGAUUAUGAGAUGUCGGAUGUGAGUCCAGGUGUCCAGAGUGAAUUGUCUUGUUUUUUAAAUUAAGAGUGGCCCCAUGUGUCUAAGAAUAAUAAAGGAGAAUGAUUAAUGUAAAGUUCAGUGAAUCCUUACUUUAACUUGACUCAUUUUAAGAGGCUGAAGUCAUUAUUGGACAGGGAAGAAGCUGCAAUGGUGACAGUUUCUAAAGAUUCUUCAGAAAGAUUCUGUUUUUGGCAGUUUCUCAUCAUUUUAAUUCUCACAGCUCUGUAUCUGCAA
ensembl:lncRNA